rnacentral:rRNA from 1 species
GACAGAGGUCCCGAGCGUUAGGCGGAAUCACUGGGCUUAAAGCGUGUGUAGGCGGCGGCCUAAGUCCCUUGUGAAAUCCCACGGCUCACCCGUGGAACUGCUCGGGAUACUGGGUCGCUUGAGCCACUUAGGGGCUACCGGAACAAAUGGUGGAGCGGUGAAAUGCGUAGAUAUCGGGAGGAACACCAAUGGCGAAGGCAUCUCGCUGGGACGGUACUGACGCUGAGACGCGAAAGCGUGGGGAGCAAACAGG